rnacentral:rRNA from 1 species
GGGUGAGUAACACGUGGAUAACCUACCUAUAAGACUGGGAUAACUUCGGGAAACCGGAGCUAAUACCGGAUAAUAUUUUGAACCGCAUGGUCCAAAAGUGAAAGACGGUCUUGCUGUCACUUAUAGAUGGAUCCGCGCUGCAUUAGCUAGUUGGUAAGGUAACGGCUUACCAAGGCAACGAUGCAUAGCCGACCUGAGAGGGUGAUCGGCCACACUGGAACUGAGACACGGUCCAG